rnacentral:rRNA from 1 species
ACGGAAGGCAGCAGUGGGGAAUAUUGGACAAUGGGGGGAACCCUGGUCCAGCGACGCCGCGUGAGUGAAGAAGUAUUUCGGUAUGUAAAGCUCUAUCAGCAAGGAAGAAAAUGACGGUACUUGACUAAGAAGCCCCGGCUAACUACGUGCCAGCAGCCGCGGUAAUACGUAGGGGGCAAGCGUUAUCCGGAUUUACUGGGUGUAAAGGGAGCGUAGACGGCAUAGCAAGUCUGAAGUGAAAUGCAUGGGCUCAACCCAUGAACUGCUUUGGAAACUGUUAAGCUAGAGUGCAGGAGAGGUAAGUGGAAUUCCUAGUGUAGCGGUGAAAUGCGUAGAUAUUAGGAGGAACACCAGUGGCGAAGGCGGCUUACUGGACUGUAACUGACGUUGAGGCUCGAAAGCGUGGGGAGCAAACAGGAUUAGAUACCCUGGUA